AGAUUGAACGCUGGCGGAAUGCUUUACACAUGCAAGUCGAACGGCAGCACGGGGGCAACCCUGGUGGCGAGUGGCGAACGGGUGAGUAAUGUAUCGGAACGUGCCCAGUCGUGGGGGAUAACUAUCCGAAAGGAUAGCUAAUACCGCAUACGUCCUAAGGGAGAAAGCGGGGGACCUGCAAAGGCCUCGCGCGAUUGGAGCGGCUGAUAUCAGAUUAGGUUGUUGGUGAGGUAAAAGCUCACCAAGCCGACGAUCUGUAGCUGGUUUGAGAGGACGACCACGCCACACGUGGGACUGAGACACGGCCCAGACUCCUACGGGAGGCAGCAGGUGGGAAUUUUGGACAAGUAGGGGAAACCUGAUCC
rnacentral:rRNA from 1 species